rnacentral:lncRNA from 1 species
CUACCCACGCCAACACUUGUAUGCAAAACCUAUUUUGCACCAAGAGUCCACUACAACUUUGACUCUCUAUAUUUGGCGUUCACAUGGAAUGUGGUGCCCCAAUUUGGACUGCUUCCAGGUAUCAUGACCUGACCCAAAUGUCUACCAAAUUGGGCUAGCUAAUUAGCAAAGGGAUGGGAACAAAUUGGUCUCCAAAGGAGCAAGGGUUUCCACACGUGCUAGC